rnacentral:RNase_P_RNA from 1 species
CAAGCAGACCGCCUUAUCGCUGGUUCUUUUAAGAAUCAGAGGAAAGUCUGGACACCAUAGAGCAGUAUAGCGGGUAACACCCGUCGGUAAAGUUUUAGUAUUAAAAUUUUAUUAGGACAAGUGCAACAGAAAGAAUGUACAGUUCGGCUGUAGUGAAAUCAGGUAAACUCUAUGCGGUGAAAUGCCAUGUAUAUCAGCAGUUAAGGGUUGCUCGCUCGUUGCUGAGGGGUAGGCAGAUAGAGCUAUUUGGCAACAAAUAGUCUAGAUAAAUGAUAAGGGCUUUUUAGGUAAUAAAAAGUACAGAAUCCGGCUUAUAGGUCUGCUUUUUUA